GCGCCCCUGCGGGUAGUCAGAUCAAUGUCAUGGUCUGAAUUUUCAUUUCUGGACUAGUUGGCUUUGCAGGCAGUUUCUAAUAUUUGUCAUAUAUGCCAAUAACCACGUUUCUCCAGACCAUUCCUGAGCGUGUCUUAGCCAUGCUAGCCUAAUGCUGGCAAUUACUACGGUGAAUGAGGGUUCUUGGGCCUUUAUUCUGUUUAUACUUAGUAUGCCACAAUGAUCCCUGCUCUCAGUUUAGCUAAGAAAAAGGCAAAAUGGACUGUCUAAUGUAUGACGUUUCCCCCCUCUCAGUCUAAGAAGCAUUUUUCUUAACACCAAUCUUAGAAUGAGAGAAAUAUGUUCCCUUGGCUUUCCGAUAGCCGGAAACUAUGUGUCCAGUACCCACUAUCAGUUACUAAGUCAGGUGCUGGCAGAUACAAACAGCAUGAUUUUCUUAAAACCAGCUCUGUCUUAGCCAUUUGAUAGCUCAGUUUGACCUGUUUAACCUGUUCAUGGAUGUCUAGGAAUGUCCGUGGAUUUAGAAAAACAGUAAAGGUAUUGGGCUACAGAUUUAAUCAUAGCAAUAUGUAGGAAAACUAGCUAAUGAGAGUAUUUCAGUCGCGUUUUAAGGAAGUUUGCCCAGCAAAUAGCAUUUACUCAUCAGUAAUUGAUGUUUUUAUUCACUAAUUAGAUUUGUAUACUAGUUAGAUGUCUGGUUGAAAUAAUUCAGAGUUUUAUUUAUUCCCCCUAUAACCAAUUAUCGUUUAGAUUUUUUCUAAAUAUUGAAAGGACCUUCAUUUCUCAUUUUUUACAACACUGCAUACCGGGAAGGUGAGUAUUGUAGUAUGGAAUACUUUGGGAUCAGCUUAGACUACGGUUUCUUAUCCUCAAUGCUGCUGAGAGACUUUGGACUGGGUAAUUCUUGGCUGUAUGCUUUGCAUGGUACAAUAUCUCCGCAGCAUCUUUGGCCACUACUUGCCCUCUCCUAAGCACCACCAAUUGUGAUAACUGAAAAUAUCUUCAGGCACUGAGUUCACACCUCUGACUCUUCCUUGAUCCCUGCCCCUGCCUUUUCUUGACCGUAUUAACUCUUGCCAGUGUAUGAAGUCCAGCACUUUUUGACCCUGCUGCUCCAGCCCUGGCCCAAUUACUAUCACUGUAGUCCCAGAUCAAAAGGGAGCACUUUAGUUUUGCUCCUUCUUGUUUAUGUUUCACUAACAACAACAAAAAAAAUAAAGAUAAGGAAUUUGUAGAGUUGUCAAGAUGGCUCACCAGUUAAGAGCACUGGUACUUUUCCAGAGGACCAGGGUUUAGUUCCUACCACCCACAAGGUACAUACAUACACAUACAAACAAAACACCUGAACAUGUAAAAUAAUCUUUCAAAAUUUGAAAAAAGUUGGCCAGGUGAUGGUGCUUUGUGCCCUUUAAUCCUUAUGCUCAGGAGCCAGAGGCAAGUGGAUCCCUGAGUUCAAGGACAGCCAGGGCUACACAGAAACCCUGUCUGGAAAAAAAAAAAAAAAUUUAAGAACGUUUGUACAGAACUCAAAACUAACAUACUCUACGUACAGGGGUAUUGUAUUAGGGUUCUCUAGAGUCGCAAAAUUUACGGUAUGUCUCUCUAUCCUGAGGAGAUUUAUUGUGAUGACUGACAGUCUGUAGCCCAACUCUCCAACAGUGGGCAGCUGUAAAUGCUGUAAAUGGAAGACCAAGAAUCUAGUAGUUGCUCAGGCUAGUUGUUUGAGCUGGUCUUCUGUAGAAGUAGAUUCCAGUGUGCUGGCAAGUAAGUGCAAGUGCAAGCAGAUGAAGAAGAGCAAAUCUUCUCUCUUCCAAUAUUCUUACAUAGGUCUCCAGCACAAGCUGCACCACCACACCCGGAUCUGGGGACUUGUUUUGUCCCCGGCUGACCUUGAACUUACAGAUCUUCUUGCCUUAGCCGCCAUGCCAAGAUCCAAGUCAGAAACUUGUGUCUUCUAGCCUUAAGAUCUAGAUUACAGGUGAGCCCUCCAAUUCUGGAUUGUAGUUCAUUACAGUAUAGUCAAGUUGACAACCCGGAAUAGCCAUUAGAGAUAUUAUGCAAGGACCAUACCCUUACCUACCGUUCUAUAGCUCAAAUAGACCUUCUUUCUGACUGAAUUACAAUCCACCUCUUCAUGGUUUCUUGGAAACAGGCCUCACCUAUACAUUUCCACUUACACUUUAAAUCCUUUGCCCUAGAAAAGGAUUCAUGUAAUCAGGCCUCUUCCCCUUCCUCCAGCGAUUGGUCCACUUUGCUACCCAAGGCUUCCCUGCUUUAGUCUGUAGUCCUGCUCUCUCCUCUACCUAGAUGCUCUUGUAGCCCUUGGCAUGCAUGCCUUGACCGCCUCAUCCAUGUCUCAUAUGUUCAGCUCUAUGAAGACCACUGCGGUGACUCAUGCCAUUCAACAACCACUAACUUAUUACCACGCUCUCUAGCAUUUAUCUGUGUCCUGUGUUUAUUUUCUUAGUUCCCUUAAAGUGUGAACUGGAGAGCAAGUCUGUCCCAUCAGUAUCAGUUCCUAACACUGUGUUGACAGCCCAUUUGUUGAGUAAAUAAAUGUUUUUGAAAAACCUAAA
rnacentral:lncRNA from 1 species